AGCUUUUUGCAGUGGCAGUAUCGUAGCCCAUGAGGUUAAUCCGAGGCGCAAUUAUUGCUAGUUGAAGCAAUGCAGGAGACACAAUAGAUGGAUCUUUCAUCUCAUUAAUUAUGGCCAUGCUUAAAUUGU
rnacentral:snRNA from 1 species